rnacentral:rRNA from 1 species
GACGGAGGAUGCAAGCGUUAUCCGGAAUUAUUGGGCGUAAAGCGUCCGCAGGUGGCUGUUCAAGUCUGCUGUCAAAGCGCAGAGCUUAACUCUGUACAGGCGGUGGAAACUGAAGAGCUAGAGUAUGGUAGGGGUAGAGGGAAUUCCCGGUGUAGCGGUGAAAUGCGUAGAUAUCGGGAAGAACACCAGUGGCGAAAGCGCUCUACUGGGCCAUAACUGACACUGAGGGACGAAAGCUAGGGGAGCAAAAGGG